GCCGGCGUAGCUCAGUGGAAGAGCGAGGGUCUCAUAAUCCCUAGGCCGUGGGUUCGAUUCCCCCCGCCGGCA
rnacentral:tRNA from 1 species